UUCAUAUGUGUAUAUAGAUAGAGAUACAGAAAUCUUAAUGUCCUUGGUCUUUGACAAAACCUGUAAAGAAUGACAAUAUAUUUCUUUGGAUAAUUUAUGACAGGUGGGAUUUAUGACAGUUGGAUUUUCCCAUUCUCAGUCUCUCACAUCAAAAUUCUAAUACUCGGACAUAAAGGUGUCUUAUGUUGCAAAGUUUUACUCUCCUCUCCAAGUGCGCAUGCACACACACACACACACACACACAUACACACAGCAACUUAACAUACUUAGUUUAAAAGAGAAAUAACUAUGGCUUUGUUAUGCUUGAAGUAAGCUUAUUACCUAUGUCUUCAUACCUAAACAUGGCUACAACUAAUGUUGGCAAGAUUGCUUGUAGUCAAUGGCAUGUAGAGGCUAAUAGCAAACUCUGGAGUCAAAUGAGUCUAGUUAUGAAUCCCAGCUUUCUAUUAGCUAGAGUUACUUAUCCUCUCUGCAUAUAUUUUCUCAUUUUUUUUCACGAGAACAUUGAGUUAUUUUAAGGCUUAAAUCACGUAAUGUAAGAAAAACGUUAAGCAGGUUGCCUAGCACAUAAUGAGGGCUCAGUAAAUGUUAGUGAUUAUUACUUUUAUUGAGAGUACAAAACAACCUUGCUAAUGUCGUUGUAGAUCCUUAAUAGCUAAAGAGAAAUACAGUUGAUCAGGUGGUUCUGAGGAUCAAAUGAAACAGAUACAUAUAAAAUAUUUCACUCAGGAUUUGGCACAUUUAUGAAUCCUUUUUCUCUACCUUGCCUUUAAUCUCCAGCUAAGGCAGAAUACAGAAUAGUGUUUUACUAUGUCCAAAUUUUGGAGAAAAAUAAACAUAUUAUUUUAAUUGCAAUCAUUUCACAGUUGGUAUCAUAACUGAUGUCACAAAAUAAUGGAAAAAAUAUUCCUAUUCUGAUUUUACAUAUUGCCUGGAUUCAACAAGGGAUCACUAAAUGAUUUUCAUGGGUCAUUUUAUAAUGCAAAGAGAAGCAUAAAAGUAUUUUAACUCUUUUUAAACCAAAGUUGAGUUGGCAUGAUUUUCAUUCUUGUUUAUUGCAGUUUCAAAUAUUUAUUCUAUAUCGCAGUAGCAGUUAUAUGUAAAUUCAUUUGUACUGCCAUUGGUGUCUUAUUUAAAUCAGCCGUUACUACUGUGGGCUUAGAAAUUCUGUCCUUUUGAGCUUAAUUCUUUAUCCUGCAAACACUUCGGAUUUCAAAACCUGGCAAAUUCCCUGAGGAGAAAAUUGUUCCUUGUGCUUGUGGCAGGACUCCUUUUGGUAGCACUUCGUCUUCUACUUGUUGAGACUGCAAUAUAUUCCCUUCUGAUUUCCUGUCCAGCCCACAGUCUCCUGAAGCUCCAUAAAUGUCAGUGCUGCCUUGUAGUAAAAACCAGCUGUGUGUGGAGAAUCUUGUCGCUUUCAACCUGCAACACAAGCUCCGUCUGGCCCCACAAACUCUGGUGGUUUCUUUUUCCCCAGUUAAGUGCCUCUGCAUCAACCAUACCUGAUCUUCAGCCCAUGCUCAGACGCAGCCAAAUACUAAACGGAGGGAAUAGCCUGUAAUCAUGGAUCAACUAAGAAGGACUCUUUACAGAAAUUAUUUCUAGUCUCAAUCACUUCUAGUUUCCUGCUGUCUGUAACAAUAUUGUUUUUGGUUUAUUUUCUCUUCCUAGUUUUUGAAGGAAGAGUAGUAACCUACCCUGUACUACUACAUUCUACCCUGAAUUAGAAGUAUUUUAUCAAUUUCAAAAAAUGUUUGUAACAUUAUAUAUUAAAAUUAAAUGAUUAUUUACUUUUAUAAUUGUUUUUCUGAGGAAAAAAUCUACCAUAUUAAUGUUUCAUAAGUUUAAAUCAAGGUUCCAAGAGGAGUCAAGAUUUGUGAUUUUGAUCUUAUUUAGAAUAUUUUAUUUUUUCCUUUUGAAAUAAAUUAGUUGAUAAUGUACUAGAAACAUGAUAACCUGAGUUUCUUCAAAUGAAAGCUAAAUGCUAUAGAAAACAAUCAUGCUUAAAAAUAUAAUUAUUUUAAAUAAGAUCUAAAUAGACUCUUUUUAACUUUAUUAUUAUAGUUAAAAAACUAAAAGUCCUUUCAGCUUGUGGACUUUUAAUAUGUGGGCAGAAUAGUGUUUUACUAUAUUCAAGUUAUUUUUAAUAUGUGGACUUGACAUUAAAGGUAUGACAAAACACCUUUAAAGAACAAUUAAUUAUGACGAUUUAAUAAAAGUGGUCAGCAUUGAAAAAAUACUGCUAUAUUCUACAUUUUAUAGUUCAGAUCUGGGAAAGUGUAAAUCUUAUUAACCCUCUAAAUACACAUUUAUUAUUCCUUUAUUCUAUUCAUGUUCGAAUUUCAAGAACAGAGUAAUCUCUGUUCAUUUAUUUUGUAUACAACAACAUAGUGUUAAACUCCACUUGCAAUCCUUCAACUAUAUUUUCUUCAUUGUCAUCCCUACAGGAAGAAUGAAACACACAAUAGUAUCUUAGACUUAAAGGGUUAUAUAUUUUCAGGCCUGUUUCUUCCACUUCUAUCUUUGCAUAUGAAAUAUAAGUUAAGUUUUAUAGAUUUAUACAAACUCCUUAUCCCUUGUGGAAUAAGUUAAAUUCUGUUCAUGCAUUCUAAUGUUCUACCUUAUUUUCACUUUGAUUCAAAAAAAAUAUAAAUAUGAUUUACAAGUGGAAAAAAUUGUGCUUAAUGAAAGCUUCAAAAUUUAGACUCUUUCUGGCACAAGAUAGUAUUCUAUGCUAUUGGAAGAAAAUAAACUGGAUACAAUAUCAAAGAAUCAGAAAGAUUAGUAAAAUCUCUCUAACAGUAAUAAAAGCAUGAAUAGUAAGAACCUUAAGAUUUUCAAGCUAAAAUUGGAUCCUUAGUAUUUUCUGCUAGAUGGCUGCUUCUAGCAAAGGUGGAUUCCCCCAAGAAUGUCAUUGUGUAACAUUUUUGUAAUAAAAUUAAAUUUUAAAGUAUUUUUAAAAAUAGAAAACUAACUUGUCUUUCUGUAGUAAU
rnacentral:lncRNA from 1 species